rnacentral:rRNA from 1 species
CCUACGGGGUGCAGCAGUGAGGAAUAUUGGUCAAUGGACGCAAGUCUGAACCAGCCAUGCCGCGUGCAGGAAGACGGCUCUAUGAGUUGUAAACUGCUUUUGUACGAGGGUAAACGCAGAUACGCGUAUCUGUCUGAAAGUAUCGUACGAAUAAGGAUCGGCUAACUCCGUGCCAGCAGCCGCGGUAAUACGGAGGAUUCAAGCGUUAUCCGGAUUUAUUGGGUUUAAAGGGUGCGUAGGCGGUCGGAUAAGUUAGAGGUGAAAUCCCGAGGCUCAACUUCGGAAUUGCCUCUGAUACUGUUCGGCUUGAGAGUAGUUGCGGUAGGCGGAAUGUAUGGUGUAGCGGUGAAAUGCUUAGAGAUCAUACAGAACACCGAUUGCGAAGGCAGCUUACCAAGCUACUUCUGACGUUGAGGCACGAAAGCGUGGGGAGCAAACAGGAUUAGAUACCCCAGUAGUC